rnacentral:rRNA from 1 species
AUUGAACGCUGGCGGCAGGCCUAACACAUGCAAGUCGAGCGAGGGGCGGACGGGUGAGUAAUAUAUGGGAAUGUGCCCGAUAGCGGGGGAUAACUACUGGAAACGGUAGCUAAUACCGCAUACUCUUGGAUCAACACAUAUGGGAUUAGCUAGUUGGUGGGGUAAUGGCUCACCAAGGCGACGAUCCCUAGCUGGUCUGAGAGGAUGACCAGCCACACUGGGACUGAGACACGGCCCAGACUCCUACGGGAGGCAGCAGUGGGGAAUAUUGCACAAUGGGCGCAAGCCUGAUGCAGCCAUGCCGCGUGUAUGAAGAAGGCCCUAGGGUUGUAAAGUACUUUCAGUCGAGAGGCGUUACCGACAGAAUAAGCACCGGCUAACUCCGUGCCAGCAGCCGCGGUAAUAC